UAUUCGAUAAAUACAAGAUAUUAUCACAUAGCGGAAGUAUCUACUAUACCUACACAACGCUUAUUAGAACAAGUCAAAGUACAAAAUAUAGUAAAUAUUUCAUAUUCAAAUCAAAUGGUACACAAGAUCAACGCAAAAUCAAAAUGACUAUUUUUUUUAAU